AUUGAACGCUGGCGGCAGGCUUAACACAUGCAAGCCGAGCGGAGAUGAGGUGCUUGCACCUUAUCUUAGCGGCGGACGGGUGAGUAAUGCUUAGGAAUCUGCCUAUUAGUGGGGGACAACAUUCCGAAAGGAAUGCUAAUACCGCAUACGUCCUACGGGAGAAAGCAGGGGAUCUUCGGACCUUGCGCUAAUAGAUGAGCCUAAGUCGGAUUAGCUAGUUGGUGGGGUAAAGGCCUACCAAGGCGACGAUCUGUAGCGGGUCUGAGAGGAUGAUCCGCCACACUGGGACUGAGACACGGCCCAGACUCCUACGGGAGGCAGCAGUGGGGAAUAUUGGACAAUGGGGGAAACCCUGAUCCAGCCAUGCCGCGUGUGUGAAGAAGGCCUUAUGGUUGUAAAGCACUUUAAGCGAGGAGGAGGCUACUGAGACUAGUACUCUUGGAUAGUGGACGUUACUCGCAGAAUAAGCACCGGCUAACUCUGUGCCAGCAGCCGCCGCAG
rnacentral:rRNA from 1 species